UACGAAGGGGGCUAGCGUUGCUCGGAAUCACUGGGCGUAAAGCGCACGUAGGCGGCUUGUUAAGUCAGGGGUGAAAUCCUGGAGCUCAACUCCAGAACUGCCUUUGAUACUGGCAAUCUAGAGUCCGGAAGAGGUGAGUGGAACUCCUAGUGUAGAGGUGGAAUUCGUAGAUAUUAGGAAGAACACCAGUGGCGAAGGCGGCUCACUGGUCCGGUACUGACGCUGAGGUGCGAAAGCGUGGGGAGCGAACAGG
rnacentral:rRNA from 1 species